GAUGAACGCUAGCGACAGGCUUAACACAUGCAAGUCGAGGGGUAGCAGGGGGUAGCAAUACUUUGCUGACGACAGGCGCACGGGUGAGUAACACGUAUGCAACCUACCUAUCAGAGGGGGAUAGCCCGGAGAAAGUCGGACUAAUACCGCAUAAAACAGGGGUCCCGCAUGGGAAUAUUUGUUAAAGAUUUAUGGAUGAUAGUUAGGCAUGCGUUCCAUUAGGCAGUUGGCGGGGUAACGGCACACCAAACCGACGAUGGAUAGGGGUUCUGAGAGGAAGGUCCCCCACAUCGGUACUGAGACACGGACCAAACUCCUACGGGAGGCAGCAGUGAGGAAUAUUGGUCAAUGGGCGCGAGCCUGAACCAGCCAAGUCGCGUGAAGGAUGAAGGUUCUAUGGAUUGUAAACUUCUUUUAUUGGUGAAUAAAGUGCAGGACGUGUCCUGUUUUGUAUGUACCCAACGAAUAAGCAUCGGCUAACUCCGUGCCAGCCGCCGCAGUAA
rnacentral:rRNA from 1 species